UGACCUGCGGAGGAUCAUUACCGAGAGAGGGACGGCCUACGGCUGCUCCCUGGGGGGCCCCGCCCCCCGCCUCUUCAACCCUGUGUGUAUCAACCUCUGUUGCUUCGGCGAGCGCCGGGGUGCCCUGCGCCCCGGCCCCGGUCUCGGCCGGUGAGUUCUCGUCAGAGGCCCGAGCCCAUUCUGUUCAAGUGACGUCCGAGUCCACGAUUAAAUCAAUCAAAACUUUCAACAACGGAUCUCUUGGUUCUGGCAUCGAUGAAGAACGCAGCGAAAUGCGAUAAGUAAUGUGAAUUGCAGAAUUCAGUGAAUCAUCGAAUCUUUGAACGCACAUUGCGCCCCUUGGUAUUCCGGGGGGCAUGCCUGUUCGAGCGUCAUUGCAACCCUCAAGCUCUGCUUGGUAUUGGGCGUCCGCGGCCUUCUUCGGGGGGCGGCGCGCCCGUAAGUUAGUGGCGGUCCAGGGAGACUUCAAGCGCAGUAGAACCUUUCGCUUUCGAGGUGUCGCCUGCGGCCCGGCCGUAAAACCCCCCAUCUUUCAAUGAUUGACCUCGGAUCAGGUAGGGAUACCCGCUGAACUUAAGCAUAUCAAUAAGGCGGGAGGAA
rnacentral:rRNA from 1 species